rnacentral:lncRNA from 1 species
AUGUCCGUUCUCCUGGAGGUGAAGCGGGAUCUGAUUGGGGAUCAAAGGCCAGUGGCAGUGGCUGCCAGCCACCACGUCAUUACGUCUGCGAGGGGUGACAUCUGCGUGUGUUUCUGGAGCAGGACAGAAGCGGGCUCUGUGUGCCCUGGGGAUGCCAUCGCUGAGCUAUUAACGCAGGGAAGUGUAAUGAUCACAGGGGAGGAGAGACAUCAUCACUGUGUCUGCACAGAGGUAGCGUCUUGCUCCGAGCAGCCCCGCUCGGGCGGCCAGCGGUGCCUGCCAGGGUCCUGGCCAGCGGGUGGGAGAUGUGGGAGGUCUGGGAGGUCUGAUCUGAUGCUUCUCCCCUGGUCUCCUCCCGCAGAGAUGUUGCUUUGGUUCCUUGUUCUUGGCGGUGUGGGGUGGACGGUCCAGAGCGGCUGCAGAAGUGGAUCAGGGCAGGUUCCUACUGCAAACUCAGCCACCGCUGGGCCAGCACGACCACCUACAGCGUGUCCUCCCCGUCCCUCUGCGUGCUGUCACCUGCCUCCUCCACCUCCCCUGGGGAGCUCAGCGCCUCAACUGGACAGACUGCGAGGGCUCCCUGGGCUCCGUGCUCCUCUGUCCCGAGUGGGGAAGCCCUGCAGAAGAGGGGUGCUGGUGGCCUGGUGCUGGAAAGCAGCGGGGACGGAAGGUGACAAAGCACAGGGGAGUCCAGAGCAUCCCGGGAUGGGGGGUGUCCCCUGGGAACCCCAAAGCUGGCUUCGUGCAAGGUAUUCACUAGCAAGAGAACUGGGUCUGCUGAGGACAGUGGUGGCAGCCACGCUCCUGAGGCGCUCCAGCUUUCCACAGAGCUGGUACCAGCACCUCCUCAAGGGCUGGUGUGGAGGAUGCCCAGGAUGGGACCAUCUUCUAUCCUUCUUCUGCUCGGCACAGGGGUGGGCAGGUCCCUGUGUCCCCGCCGCUCCCUGCAGGAAGAAAGGGGACAUUCAGCACCAGGCUGGGAGCUCGGCUCAGCUGGCACCUGGGCAAUGA